rnacentral:rRNA from 1 species
GAUGAACGCUGGCGGCGUGCCUAAUACAUGCAAGUCGAGCGAACAGACGAGGAGCUUGCUCCUCUGACGUUAGCGGCGGACGGGUGAGUAACACGUGGAUAACCUACCUAUAAGACUGGGAUAACUUCGGGAAACCGGAGCUAAUACCGGAUAAUAUAUUGAACCGCAUGGUUCAAUAGUGAAAGACGGUUUUGCUGUCACUUAUAGAUGGAUCCGCGCCGCAUUAGCUAGUUGGUAAGGUAACGGCUUACCAAGGCGACGAUGCGUAGCCGACCUGAGAGGGGGAUCGGCCACACUGGAACUGAGACACGGCCCAGAGUCCGACGGGAGGCAGCAGUAGGGAAGCUUCCGCAAUGGGCGGAAGCCUGACGGAGCAACGCCGCGUGAGUGAUGAAGGUCUGCGGAUCGUAAAACGCUGUUAUUAGGGAAGAACAAAUGUGUAAGUAACGAUGCGCGUCUGGACGGUACCUAAACAGAAAGCCACGGCUAACUACGU